rnacentral:rRNA from 1 species
CUAGCCGUAAACGAUGGAUACUAGGCGUUGUGAGUAUCGACCCUCACAGUGUCGUAGCUAACGCGUUAAGUAUCCCGCCUGGGGAGUACGCGCGCAAGCGUGAAACUCAAAGGAAUUGACGGGGGCCCGCACAAGCGGUGGAGUAUGUGGUUUAAUUCGAUGCAACGCGAAGAACCUUACCAGGACUUGACAUGUCGCGAAUCUCAGGGAAACCUGAGAGUGCCUUCGGGAGCGCGAACACAGGUGGUGC